rnacentral:rRNA from 1 species
GCGAACGGGUGAGUAACACGUGGGUGAUCUGCCCUGCACUCUGGGAUAAGCCUGGGAAACUGGGUCUAAUACCGGAUAUGACCUUGGACUGCAUGGUUCUUGGUGGAAAGGUUUACUGGUGCAGGAUGGGCCCGCGGCCUAUCAGCUUGUUGGUGGGGUAAUGGCCUACCAAGGCGACGACGGGUAGCCGGCCUGAGAGGGCGACCGGCCACACUGGGACUGAGACACGGCCCAGACUCCUACGGGAGGCAGCAGUGGGGAAUAUUGCACAAUGGGCGAAAGCCUGAUGCAGCGACGCCGCGUGAGGGAUGAAGGCCUUCGGGUUGUAAACCUCUUUCAGCAGGGACGAAGCGAGAGUGACGGUACCUGCAGAAGAAGCACCGGCUAACUACGUGCCAGCAGCCGCGGUAAUACGUAGGGUGCGAGCGUUGUCCGGAAUUACUGGGCGUAAAGAGUUCGUAGGCGGUUUGUCACGUCGUUUGUGAAAACUCACAGCUCAACUGUGAGCCUGCAGGCGAUACGGGCAGACUUGAGUACUGCAGGGGAGACUGGAAUUCCUGGUGUAGCGGUGAAAUGCGCAGAUAUCAGGAGGAACACCGGUGGCGAAGGCGGGUCUCUGGGCAGUAACUGACGCUGAGGAACGAAAGCGUGGGUAGCAAACAGGAUUAGAUACCCUGGUAGUCCACGCCGUAAACGGUGGGCGCUAGGUGUGGGUUCCUUCCACGGGAUCUGUGCCGUAGCUAACGCAUUAA